UGGACCACAGCUGCGAAUGUGUAAUGAACCACGGAUUAAGAUUAGUCCAUUUUAGUUUAAUUGAGAUCCAUU
rnacentral:snoRNA from 14 species